CUCUGCGAUCUCCCCGCUCUGCCCGCGGCUCCGCCCGGCCUCCAGCGGCUGCCCAGGGCCCUCCCGCGCCAGCGGGCGGGCGCGCUUCGGAUUGGUCGCAGCCCCGCAAAGGCAGCCAGUUCGGGUCGAGCUCCCCUCUCCCGCCCCCCACUCCCGCCCCCAGCCCUUUGUACAGGGAUUGCGACAAGCAGAAGCAGAGGGUGAAAGGAGUUGGGGUUAGAGGGAGGGAGUGAGGGCGCGCCGGCGAAGCAGGAGGGACUGGGGUGUUAGUAGCAAAGACCAGGGAAGACCCGGAGGCUGAGACUUGGGGGCCGGGGGCGAGCAUCGGAGCCUCCUGCUCCGGUCCUUCCAUCCUAUGAAGUCAGUGGCUAGCACGGGAGACUGGUCUCUGUGCCUUCGUGGGCUGCCGUUGAGGAGCUGCAAAAGCGAGAAGUGAAUAACUCGCGGUUCGGGACAAGGGCUCUAGAGUUCCUGCCCGCCUGCUGCAGCGGCGCCCAGAGCCACCGAACACCCUCUCUCCCUUCCUUGGCUGCGCUCUCUGACCUCGGUGCUUGUCUCGGCCCCGCAGGCCCAGCAACUGCGCAAUCACGCGGCAGGGCGGGGGAUACCGCACCCGACUGGAGAGGGCCAGGGCCAGGGCGAGGGCCAGAGCGGCCGUCGAGUCCCGGACGAGAGUUUGCGGCGGGAGGUUGCUUCUUCCCUUACAGGGCGCUGUCCGAUUGACGACCGCGGCCCACCCGGAGCGAGGCUCCUUGAGAGCUUGGCCUCACAUAGAGGAAAUCCUCAAUAACGUUCCCCAGGAAGAAGAAACAGGCCCAAGCCUCCCCCAAUAAUUUUGGGCAGGACACCUCAAGCCCCACACUCUACACUCGUCCCUGUCAUUCCUCAAAAUCCUGAAGAGCUAGCGCCCUGCUGCUGGAGAGGAUCCCACCCAGGCACUACUGCUGCGCUCCGCAGGCUGCAAAGACGCGUCAGGACGAAUCCUCCAGCAAGGGGGAGGUGGUCUCCGCCCGCCCAGCGACUCGACGCUCUCCAGCAGCGCUCGCACACCC